UGACCUACGGGAGGCAGCAGUGGGGAAUAUUGCACAAUGGGGGGAACCCUGAUGCAGCAAUGCCGCGUGAAGGAUGAAGGUUUUCGGAUUGUAAACUUCUUUUGUCAGGGACGAAGCAAGUGACGGUACCUGACGAAUAAGCCACGGCUAACUACGUGCCAGCAGCCGCGGUAAUACGUAGGUGGCAAGCGUUAUCCGGAUUUAUUGGGUGUAAAGGGCGUGUAGGCGGGAAUGCAAGUCAGAUGUGAAAACUAUGGGCUCAACCCAUAGCCGGCAUUUGAAAAUGUAUUUCUUGAGUGCUGGAG
rnacentral:rRNA from 1 species